GUAGGGGUCAGUGUCUAGGUGAAAAUGCAGUGGUUCGUUGGUUUGUACAUAAAAAGCGAUAAUGUCUAAGAAGCCUGUAGUACACCGAAUGACCGGUAGGGGUCAGUGUGUAGGCGCAAAUGCAGUGGUUCGUACAUGAAAUGCAAUAGUGUCUGAGAUGCCUGUAGUUACACCAAAUGACUGGUAGGGGUCAGUGUCUUGGUGAAAAUGCAGUGAUUUGUACAUGAAAUGCAAAAACGUCUAAGAAACCUGUAGUACACCGAUGACCGAUAGGGGUCAGUGUGUAGGCCCAAAUGCAGUGGUUUGUACAUGAAAUGCAAUAAUAUCUGAGAAGCCUGUACUACAUUGAAUGACCGAUAGGGGUCAGUGUGUAGGCAAAAAAAUUGUAUAUCGUUUGUAGUUUUAACCCAACAGAUUUUUAACCAAAACAGAUUUUAAACAACAGAUUUUACAUAAACAGCUAGGUGAGUAUAAGGUAACGAAAUAACCGUGCAAAACGAAAGGGAACCGUAAAGUGAGGACCCGUGCUGUGUUGAACGCCGUGGGAACUAAUCCUGGCGCGACAGGUGGGUCAACUUACGGUUUGAGAGUCCCUGAGACACCAAAUGCGAUGCUGACCGGAGAGAAAGCCACUGGAUUAACGGAAAUCCCUGCUGCAGGAUUCCUGGACACAGCUUGGAGUAGGAGACCUCAUGGAGCAAAGGUGAAACCAAAAUGGCGUCUUGUAU